rnacentral:rRNA from 1 species
GAUGAACGCUAGCUACAGGCUUAACACAUGCAAGUCGAGGGGAAACGACAUCGCAAGCUUGCUUUUGAUGGGCGUCGACCGGCGCACGGGUGAGUAACGCGUAUCCAACCUGCUCAUCACUUGGGAAUAACCUUGCGAAAGUAAGACUAAUACCCAAUGACAUCCCACGAAGACAUCUGAAUGGGAUUAAAGAUUUAUCGGUGAUGGAUGGGGAUGCGUCUGAUUAGCUUGUUGGCGGGGUAACGGCCCACCAAGGCAACGAUCAGUAGGGGUUCUGAGAGGAAGGUCCCCCACAUUGGAACUGAGACACGGUCCAAACUCCUACGGGAGGCAGCAGUGAGGAAUAUUGGUCAAUGGGCGAGAGCCUGAACCAGCCAAGUAGCGUGCAGGAUGACGGCCCUAUGGGUUGUAAACUGCUUUUAUAAGGGAAUAAAGUGGGUCUCGUGAGACUUUUUGCAUGUACCUUAUGAAUAAGGACCGGCUAAUUCCGUG